UACGAAGGGGGCUAGCGUUGUUCGGAAUUACUGGGCGUAAAGCGCGCGCAGGCGGUCUUCCAAGUCAGUGGUGAAAGCCCGGAGCUCAACUCCGGAACUGCCAUUGAAACUGUUAGACUUGAGGAUGAGAGAGGUGAGUGGAAUUCCCAGUGUAGAGGUGAAAUUCGUAGAUAUCAGGAGGAACACCGGUGGCGAAGGCGGGUCUCUGGGCAACAACUGACGCUGAGGAGCGAAAGCGUGGGGGAGCGAACAGG
rnacentral:rRNA from 1 species